AAUGAUGGUGACCCAAACCCUCACCAGAGUAGCAAUUGGAGGGCAAGUCUGGUGCCAGCAGCCGCGGUAAUUCCAGCUCCAAUAGCGUAUAUUAAACUUGUUGCAGUUAAAAAGCUCGUAGUUGAAUUUUAGCGUGUUCGAGUUUGCCAUUCGUUUGGCUUUUUCGAGUUCGCUUUUGGGUUUUCCCUUUUUACUUUGAGAAAAUUAGAGUGUUUCAAGCAGACUUUUGUCUUGAAUACUUCAGCAUGGAAUAAUAGAGUAGGACUUUGGUUCUAU
rnacentral:rRNA from 1 species